rnacentral:rRNA from 1 species
AUACGUAGGGGGCGAGCGUUGUCCGGAAUGAUUGGGCGUAAAGGGCGCGUAGGCGGCCCGGUAAGUCUGGAGUGAAAGUCCUGUUUUUAAGAUGGGAAUUGCUUUGGAUACUGUCGGGCUUGAGUGCAGGAGAGGUAAGUGGAAUUCCCAGUGUAGCGGUGAAAUGCGUAGAGAUUGGGAGGAACACCAGUGGCGAAGGCGACUUACUGGACUGUAACUGACGCUGAGGCGCGCAAGUGUGGGGAGCAAACAGGAUUAGAUACCCUGGUAGUCCGCACUGUAAACGAUGAAUGCUAGGUGUAGGGGGUAUCGACCCCUUCUGUGCCGCAGUCAACACAAUAAGCAUUCCGCCUGGGGAGUACGGCCGCAAGGUUGAAACUCAAAGGAAUUGACGGGG